GCCACGUCGGCCCCUCGCUCCCAGCCAGGAUGCCCUUGCGGCGCCAGCCCCCACCCCGGGAUGGGGCUUCUCGGGGCAGGGGCCCUGUGUGCUCAGCCUCUAUUCCCCCAGACCGCGACUCAAGGCUCCCCCGACCCCCCUCCCCCGACUUUUGCCGUGAAGGAGACGUGGGGCAAGGGACUGGGGUGGGGCCCAGAGGUGGGCUCCCCCCCCCCCGAGUUCUGAGCUCCGAUGCGGGGAGUGCCAGCCUCCCCUUCCCUGUGGCUUCGUCUGUGAGGCAGACCCUAAGCACUCCUGGGGGAGCCCUGCCUCCAAGACUCCCCCAGACUUCAGCCUCCCUGGUGAAGUCCCCAGAACUCGCUGGGAAGGCCCGGGAGCUUUGCAGAGGAAACCGCCAUGACUCCUCGUCGUCUGCUCUGAUUCUCUCCUGACCCCACUGCCUUGAGGUAUUAGGAAGAGGGCAGGCCUGUGUGGCGGGCCCUGUGCCGUCACCGCCCCCUUCCCCAGGCAGGCCGACAAUACUCCAAAGUGGGGCACCUUUCUUCUCUGGAAACUCUAAGACAUUGGACUGAAGGAACCGGCCUGACGUGGGCUACACGGAAGGCAGCCGCUGCCCAGCCCUCUGUGUGCGGAGGCUGCUGGGGACCACAGCCAGGAGCCUGAGCUGGUCUUUCCCCUUUGGGAGCAUCUGCUGGGAAGGGCCAUAGGCCCUCCCGAGCUCCGAGCAGCAGUGUCUGGCCCCUCCUGCUGUUUCUGGGGCUUUCAGAAGCACCAACCCACUUCUCAGUUACCUCCUCUGGCCAGAAGGCCCCAGUGCUGGCCCCAUGACCACCGAUGGACGUGCCAGGCACCCAGGGCCCUGACCCUGACUGCAGCAUUCCCAGCUGCUCCCCCUCCCCCCCCAGCUGCCCGGCAGCUGGGCCUACAAGGGCUCUGGGGACGCUUCCAUAGGAAGGGGCUGGCACUUUGUGAUUGCCUCGUGUUUAGUGUUAAGCCCCCUGCCCCCAGUGCAAAUCCCUGUGUUUUGCUAUCUCCUGAACAAAAUGUAAACCGACACCUGAAAGCAAAAGGUAUCGAAUACCUUUUUUACCCAUAAGGGUUUUUACAAAGAAUGUGUCUCACUAGGAACUAGGACACUCAUCAGCCCGAGACCAACUCCUGGAUAAAAGGAAUAAAGGAGAAUCGUGUUUGUAAUAAGUUACAGGAUUGUUUCUGUCCUGGAUUUUAAACUUUUUGUUAAAUUGUGAAAUUAUGGAGGAGUUUUAUAGAAAAAAAAAAGUGAAAUAAAGUCAGAUGGGAAAGCAGA